rnacentral:rRNA from 1 species
UACGUAGGGGGCGAGCGUUGUCCGGAGUUACUGGGCGUAAAGGGCACGCAGGCGGUUGUGUCAGUUUGCGGGGACAGUGGGCGGCUUAACUGCCCAAGGGUCGCAAAGACGGCAUGACUGGAGGGCCAGAGAGGGACCUGGAAUUCCGGGUGGAGCGGUGAAAUGCGUAGAGAUCCGGAGGAACACCACUGGCGAAGGCAAGGUCCUGGCUGGUGCCUGACGCUGAGGUGCGAAAGCUAGGGGAGCGAACGGG